UAUUUGUGUCCAAGAGUGCCUUACUAAAGU
rnacentral:piRNA from 1 species